UACGAAGGGUGCAAGCGUUACUCGGAAUUACUGGGCGUAAAGCGUGCGUAGGCGGCUCGUUAAGUCUGAUGUGAAAGCCCUCGGCUCAACCUGGGAAUUGCAUUGGAUACUGGCGAGCUAGAGUGCGGUAGAGGAUGGUGGAAUUCCCGGUGUAGCGGUGAAAUGCGUAGAGAUCGGGAGGAACAUCUGUGGCGAAGGCGGCCAUCUGGUCCAGCACUGACGCUGAGGCGCGAAAGCGUGGGGAGCAAACAGG
rnacentral:rRNA from 1 species